rnacentral:lncRNA from 1 species
UAGAAUCAAUAGAAAAGUAAUUUUUCAAAUUGAAAUUGACAUUCAUAACAUAAAAUAAGCAUUACAAUGAUGAUUUCAACAUAAACUACAAUAUUACAUUUCAAUUUCCUGGUGGACGCUUGCACAUCUUCAAAAUAUCUUCGACCAAUCUUUGUAGCGUCGCCUCCAACUUGAACGAAACUUUUGUUCCGAAACGGAAAUACAAAUUG